rnacentral:misc_RNA from 1 species
UCUUUCAAUGUGACCCUACCCUUGCAAAAAUUCAGGUUGAAGAUCAGCUGGUUUUUGUAGCUUUGUAGUUGUGUAUUGCACAGUUUCUGAUUGAUAUAUACAAAAAACACAAGUGACAAAACAAGGAAGUUCAUUUUAGUGAUUGCUAAUCUGUAUUUAGUCAGUGUUUUGGGGGACAUGCUUCUGUCACAAUAUUUUAUAAACACACCCACUGGUAUACUGUGACUAAAAUGAAACAGUCAGGGUAUGCCACACAGAAUAUUCUCAUGAUUGCUAAACACUUCACACCUCAGGGGAACAACAGUCAGGGUGUAUUUGGAGGACCACCAAAGAAACGUCCAUCAGAUAAACCAAAAAGUAAGGAAAUGCUAGAAAGAAACCAACAGCGUCGCCCCUUACGCACAUAUCCUCUAAGCCCUCCAGACUAUCUCAUAGACCCUCAGGUGCUUCUACAAGACUACGUAGAAAAAGAUUUAAGGUUUGCUGGUAUUAUACCCAAUGUUCCAGUACAUCUUGAUUCUACGAGCCGCACAGAUAUCCUCAGAGUGAUAGAUAGGGGAAAGAAGGAUGGUACAAUCCCUUGGCACACAACUUACGAACAAGAUGCCAUCUUUAGCUUAAGCGUUAACAAUAUCAAAAUCUCAAGGAGAGAUGGAAAUGAAGAGCUGAUGUUACGGGUACCCAUUCAUGAAAUAGCUACAAUUUGUUACAUACAAGAUGAUGCAUCUUUUAUCUUAAUUUUGAAAUUUGGGAAUCCUGAAGAGAGUCGAGAAAUGUGCAAGUUGGCAGUUUUCCUUUGUGAUAGCAGAUCUGCCUCUGAGGAGUUGUGUUCACUGGUUGGACAGUGUUUCCAGUUGGUGUACACAGAUGCCACCAUGCAGUUCUUUGAUAGGAAAGUCAAUGAAGGAGCACGCGGGGUGUCUGGUACAUCCUCUGUUACCCUAAGCAGUGAUUAUUCCACAUCUACACCUAAGAACCUGGACAAAUUACAGGAUCCUUCAUUUUUGUCUCAGUCAGCACUCCACCUAGAUCAUAGUCAGACAUCAACAUUAAACAGACCAGCUCACAGGCGGAAAAGAAGCACUACGCAGAGCGUCAGUGACCUUAGCACCUCGGCAGCAGAUCUGUUACAUGAUUAUAUUAGAAAGAUGCAGAGAGUUUUAACUGAUGAUGAAUUAAAAAGGUUUGCCUCUUUGUGUAAAAUGUGGCAAGAAAAUAUGCCUUUUAAUGAAUAUUGCCAGAGGGUGCUGGAGCUUUAUGGACAGGAGAGAAAAUAUCUUUUAGCAGAUAUGAGGGAUUUUAUACCUGAAAAAGACUAUGAAUUUUUUGAGUCAUUCUUGAAAAGUAUAGGCAUCGUAAAUAAUGGAAGAGGAAGUCAAAGAUCAAGAUACAGACGGACAGCGAGCGAUGUAUCUGGUUUAACAACAGGAAGUGCUAGUGACACUACAUCUUUAGCUGCAGAUGAGUUUGAUCGCAGCAUGAACAUAAUUACCUCAAGUAUUGCCAAUAUGGAAACGAGUGUGAACAUUAAUCCCAGCUCAUAUCUUGGAAUGCAGCAAACGUGAUAUAUGUUGUGAGGGGCACAUGCUGAAUGUGUACCUUUAGGAUCCGACUCAAUGGUGUCAUCUUUGUUGUUGUAAAGAUCUGAUCUGGUGCUAGUUCAUCAUCAGCUAGUGACAUCAGCCUGUUUGACUACAUACGUUUCGCAGUACUGUACCCUUAGUGUCAAAGGGUGAUUGGAUGUGGAGGAUUUCACAAACCCUGGGAUUUUAAAGCUCAAUAAUGGGACACAAAGUUGUGGAUAUGAACUUUCGAUGGGGUGCACUUGACACCAUGGGCUUCACAAGGUGACAAAGUCCAUUAAAUGAAAACACGAAAGAAAAUAUCCAGGACCCUGCAACUCUUUCACACAGUUUGGCGCUAAGCGUCUUUUUAACAUCAUCCACAUUGAUACUCGGCAUUGAUUCAACAAUUGAUAGGAUGUGAUGGACAAAGGGCAAGAUACCACAUUGUGUUACUCAGUGAAGGGUGGGUUUAGGUUAAAAAAAAACUGUGAUAACAUGAACUAAAAAUUUGCAUCUGUACAGUGGUGUCAGGUGUCUUGUGCUGGAAAAUAAGGUAAAGGUUCUUAUGGCUUGAAUAUGAUGCUGUUUAUUUGCCAGACAAAUGAUAUAAGUCUGAAGUGAUAGGGAAUCAUUUUAGAAAUGUCAAGCCAUUACAACAAACAAAAUACAUUGGAUAGAAAAAUCCCAAUGCUGCUGCUGAAAUAGCAGCAUUAUUGAUUUUAAAACGGUGUUAUCACCCUGUUUUAAAAUAUUAGGUAUGUUUAUCUAGUAAAAUUGAGGAUUUAAUGUUGGAUUUUGAUUUUUUAAAAAUCCUCAGAGGGUUAGUUUUAUAUAAGAGGACAAGGGAACCUUGGGAUUAGUCGACUUGAGGACCAUAAACCAUUGUAAUAUAACUGCUGUAAGUCUGAGGGAUAUUGUACAGGUACUUUCAGUAAUGUCUGUGAAGAAAAUCUCUAUGUUUUGUCAGGAUUUAAUGAUGAUAGUCUGAUUGUGCAGGUGUGUAUGUCUAUUUAUGUAGCAAAUGUUUAUCACUCGUGUGUUUUGUUUUCUGGUAUAGUUCCACUUGCCUUUCACAAUGUGAUCUCUCUCGGUAAUUUUUUAGUUCAGUGAUUGAGCAGUAUUUUGGUGCUAGGUAGAACUACAAAUUGCUGAGAUCCAUUAGGAAAAUGGUUUUGCCACUGUAAAAAAAGCUACACUGCACUUUAGAACCUUUUCUGUAAGGGGUCAAAGCAUGGGUGUGUUUAAAAAUUCUCAGGUGUCAUGAUGGCCCUUGCUUUUCAUUCAAGUGAUUGAUAACAAACAGCAAUGGCAACAGGCCGGUAAUCAAAAUUGAAAACUAAGAAAUUACCCUGAAAUAACAGAGAUGGCUUUUCACUCAAUUAAGGUUAUUGAUACUGCUGGGUCCACCCAAGUUAAUUGUGACAAGCAAGGGACCCAGCCUUAAGUAAUGAAAGUUAAUAACCCAUGAAGGGGGCAUCUCAUAGAUGCUAUGAGCUGGUUAAAAUGGUGAUUGAGUUCCUGCAAACUUUUUAUUUUUGGUAAAGCUAAAAGAAAAAAAUUGAGGACAAAACUGGUCAUGAACUGGGGAAAAAUCAAAACCAAAAAGGUUUUUCGUCAAAAUGAAUUAAUUUACGCUAUUGGGGAAUAAUUUACCAGGGUCAGGAUAGGAUCCUCUAGGGUAACACAUGCACUGUCAUUUCCUACCAUCAGGCAUAUAAUGGGCGUAUUCUAGUCCCAAGUCACUGCAGCAUUGUCUCAUUUUCAAUACAUCUGUCAUAAUAAGAAUAAUAUCUGCUUUAGGGGAUGUUUGUCAUUGCACGGAUUUUAACUACUAUUAUUUAAAAGGACUGCUGGAGGAGAUCUGAUUUUUUUAAAUAUCGUAGUCACAUCAGUUUCAAUGUAUCCGUUGUGUUUUUUUAUUUAUUUUCUUGAAUUAUAUGAUAAUUUCAGCAUAAAGAUAUUUGCUGAUGUUUCACUCAAGUAAUUUAUUGUUGUACAUUUUUAGUAAAUAAAUUGUACAUAGGUUUAUUGCAAUAUGUUGGAAAAUUGUAUUAUAGGUUUGUUUUAUAUGGGAGGUGUGACGUAAAAAGGUUGAAUAAUUAAUCAAGAUGUGUUCAUUUGUGAGGGAUCAUCACUUUCUCAGUAUUACUAUGUAAUAAUGGGUAAAACAAUCCUGACUUUGUGCAAAUAUAAUAGCAAACACUUCCAGUCUGAAGUGAAAGUGUGUGCAUUCAAGUUGACUGACAUCAUUGCUUAUCGUGUUAUUUUAGGUAAUGCUCAUGUCACCUUCAUUUUUAGAAUAUUGAAUUAUGUUGUAGAAUAUUCAACUGAGCAUCCUGUGAAUGGAAUAAAAUUGCUUGAUUUUUUUUUCAA